rnacentral:rRNA from 1 species
GAAGCUUGCUCCCCGCUGACGAGCGGCGGACGGGUGAGUAAUGCAUAGGAAACUGCCCAGUAGUGGGGGAUAGCCCGGGGAAACCCGGAUUAAUACCGCAUACGCCCUUUGGGGGAAAGCAGGGGAUCUUCGGACCUUGCGCUAUUGGAUGUGCCUAUGUCGGAUUAGCUAGUUGGUGGGGUAAGAGCCUACCAAGGCGACGAUCCGUAGCUGGUCUGAGAGGAUGAUCAGCCACAUCGGGACUGAGACACGGCCCGAACUCCUACGGGAGGCAGCAGUGGGGAAUAUUGGACAAUGGGGGCAACCCUGAUCCAGCCAUGCCGCGUGUGUGAAGAAGGCUUUCGGGUUGUAAAGCACUUUCAGUGAGGAGGAAAACCUUACGACUAAUACUCGUGAGGCUUGACGUUACUCACAGAAGAAGCACCGGCUAACUCCGUGCCAGCAGCCGCGGUAAUACGGAGGGUGCAAGCGUUAAUCGGAAUUACUGGGCGUAAAGCGCGCGUAGGUGGUUUGAUAAGCGAGAUGUGAAAGCCCCGGGCUCAACCUGGGAACGGCAUUUCGAACUGUCAGGCUAGAGUAUGGUAGAGGAGUGUGGAAUUU